GACGAACGCUGGCGGCGUGCUUAACACAUGCAAGUCGAACGGAAAGGCCCUGCUUUUGUGGGGUGCUCGAGUGGCGAACGGGUGAGUAACACGUGAGUAACCUGCCCUUGACUUUGGGAUAACUUCAGGAAACUGGGGCUAAUACCGGAUAGGAGCUCCUGCUGCAUGGUGGGGGUUGGAAAGUUUCGGCGGUUGGGGAUGGACUCGCGGCUUAUCAGCUUGUUGGUGGGGUAGUGGCUUACCAAGGCUUUGACGGGUAGCCGGCCUGAGAGGGUGACCGGCCACAUUGGGACUGAGAUACGGCCUGAACUCCUACGGGAGGCAGCAGUGGGGAAUAUUGCACAGUGGGCGGAAGCCUGAUGCAGCAACGCCGCGUGCGGGAUGACGGCAUUCGGGUUGUAAACCGCUUUCGCCUGUGACGAAGCGUGAGUGACGGUAAUGGGUAAAGAAGCACCGGCUAACUACGUG
rnacentral:rRNA from 1 species